GUACACACUAAGUAACUUUAGGCAGCCGUACACACUAAGUAACUAUAGGCAGACGUAUACACACUAAGUAACUAUAGGCAGACGUACACACUAAGUAACUUUAGGCAGACGUAUACACACUAAGUAACUAUAGGCAGACGUAUACACACUAAGUAACUAUAUGCAGACGUAUACACUCUAAGUAACUAUAGGCAGACGUACACACUCUAAGUAACUAUAGGUAGACGUACACACUAAGUAACUAUAGGCAGACGUACACACUCAAAGUAACUAUAGGCAGACGUAUACACACUAAGUAACUAUAGGCAGACGUACACACUAAGUAACUUUAGGCAGCCGUACACACUAAGUAACUAUAGGCAGACGUAUACACACUAAGUAACUAUAGGCAGACGUACACACUAAGUAACUUUAGGCAGACGUAUACACACUAAGUAACUAUAGGCAGACGUACACACUAAGUAACUAUAGGCAGACGUAUACACACUAAGUAACUAUAGGCAGACGUACACACUAAGUAACUAUAGGCAGACGUACACACUCGAAGUAACUAUAGGCAGACGUAUACACUCUAAGUAACUAUAGGCAGACGUACACACUAAGUAACUAUAGGCAGACGUAUACACACUAAGUAACUAUAGGCAGACGUACACACUAAGUAACUAUAGGCAGACGUAUACACACUAAGUAACUAUAGGCAGACGUACACACUAAGUAACUUUAGGCAGACGUACACACUAAGUAACUAUAGGCAGACGUACACACUAAGUAACUAUAGGCAGACGUAUACACACUAAGUAACUAUAGGCAGACGUACACACUAAGUAACUAUAGGCAGACGUAUACACUCUAAGUAACUAUAGGCAGACGUACACACUAAGUAACUAUAGGCAGACGUACACACUCGAAGUAACUAUAGGCAGACGUAUACACUCUAAGUAACUAUAGGCAGACGUACACACUAAGUAACUAUAGGCAGACAUAUACACUCUAAGUAACUAUAGGCAGACGUACACACUAAGUAGCUAUAGGCAGACGUACACACUCUAAGUAACUAUAGGCAGACGUAUACACACUAAGUAACUAUAGGCAGACGUACACACUAAGUAAAGAUAGGCAGACGUACACACUAAGUAACUAUAGGCAGACGUAUACACACUAAGUAACUAUAGGUAGACGUACACACUAAAUAACUAUAGGCAGACGUAUACACACUAAGUAACUAUAGGCAGACGUGUACACACUAAGUAACUAUAGGCAGACGUACACACUAAGUAACUUUAGGCAGACGUACACACUAAGUAACUAUAGGAAGACGUACACACUAAGUAACUAUAGGCAGACGUACACACUAAGUAACUUUUGGCAGACGUAUACACACUAAGUAACUAUAGGCAGACGUACACACUAAGUAACUAUAGGCAGACGUAUACACACUAAGUAACUAUAGGCAGACGUACACACUAAGUAACUUUAGGCAGACGUAUACACACUAAGUAACUUUAGGCAGACGUACACACUAAGUAACUAUAGGCAGACGUAUACACACUAAGUAACUAUAGGCAGACGUAUACACACUAAGUAACUAUAGGCAGACGUACACACUAAGUAACUAUAGGCAGACGUAUACACACUAAGUAACUAUAGGCAGACGUACACACUAAGUAACUUUAGGCAGCCGUACACACUAAGUAUCUAUAGGCAGACGUAUACACACUAAGUAACUAUAGGCAGACGUACACACUAAGUAACUUUAGGCAGACGUAUACACACUAAGUAACUAUAGGCAGACGUACACACUAAGUAACUAUAGGCAGACGUAUACACACUAAGUAACUAUAGGCAGACGUACACACUAAGUAACUAUAGGCAGACGUAUACACUCUAAGUAACUAUAGGCAGAUGUGCACACUAAGUAACUAUAGGCAGACGUAUACACACUAAGUAACUAUAGGCAGACGUACACACUAAGUAACUAUAGGCAGACGUAUACACUCUAAGUAACUAUAGGCAGACGUACACACUAAGUAACUAUAGGCAGACAUAUACACUCUAAGUAACUAUAGGCAGACGUACACACUAAGUAGCUAUAGGCAGACGUACACACUCUAAGUAACUAUAGGCAGACGUAUACACACUAAGUAACUAUAGGCAGACGUACACACUAAGUAAAGAUAGGCAGACGUACACACUAAGUAACUAUAGGCAGACGUAUACACACUAAGUAACUAUAGGCAGACGUACACACUAAGUAACUAUAGGCAGACGUAUACACACUAAGUAACUAUAGGCAGACGUGUACACACUAAGUAACUAUAGGCAGACGUACACACUAAGUAACUUUAGGCAGACGUACACACUAAGUAACUAUAGGCAGACGUAUACACACUAAGUAAUUAUAGGCAGACGUACACACUAAGUAACUAUAGGCAGACG
rnacentral:lncRNA from 1 species